GGAAGUCACAAGGCAGUGCCUCUAUUUGUAUUUUUACUUUUAUCUUUUUCUGUUCAGGGAUGGACAACCUUGCAAAUGACUAAAGAAUCUUCAAUGUUGAAUGGAGGACGAAUGAUGUCUGCAAGGACCGUUAUGGGUAUCUUAUCUGAAAUAUGGCCUCCAUCUGCCGGUUAAGUCGGGAAGAUUAAAUCGAUCAGUGAUAGAGAUGUUGAAGGAACAGUCUUUGAUUUGCCAGAUGAUGUUGCAAAAGAGCUUCUUUUGAAGAAGAUACAACCAGGUUAUACGAUAUCAGCAAUCAUCGAGUCUUCAUAGGUCAUGUUUUCAAGAGCAGGCAGAAGCUGUUGGAUUAUUGGUUGUUCAAUAGAACAAUGGAUAGCUUGAUUGCUGUCAGGUGUGAUAGUUGCGCUGAGAUGGAGAGAGUAUUUGUAAUUGAUAUCUUUAUCACAUAUUGUGCAAUGGGUAGUUUCUUCUUCAAGCAUUCCGUAGUCAUCGAACUUGUAGUUGCAUUUGGGGCAAUAUGCAUGAAAUGGAUUGGAAAAAGGAUUUAUUACUUUUAAGAUCCCAUGAACCUACAAGAUAAGUUUAAUUGUUAGCAAGAGGAAAAAAUAUUAUUAUAAAUUGAAGAGUAGAAUUGUGUGGAAAUAAGUACCUGAAAUGUUGUAUGUAGUAGUGCAUUGAGUCUGUCAAUUGUUCUUUUAUCAUUCAAUCUGCAUAUAGUUGUUGAUAAACUUGUCCGAAGUGUGUUUUUUAAAUCUGUUCUUUUAACAACGUUUCUAAA